rnacentral:rRNA from 1 species
AGAGUUUGAUCCUGGCUCAGAUUGAACGCUGGCGGCAGGCCUAACACAUGCAAGUCGAGCGGUAGCACAGAGAGCUUGCUCUCGGGUGACGAGCGGCGGACGGGUGAGUAAUGUCUGGGAAACUGCCUGAUGGAGGGGGAUAACUACUGGAAACGGUAGCUAAUACCGCAUAAUGUCGCAAGACCAAAGUGGGGGACCUUCGGGCCUCAUGCCAUCAGAUGUGCCCAGAUGGGAUUAGCUAGUAGGUGGGGUAACGGCUCACCUAGGCGACGAUCCCUAGCUGGUCUGAGAGGAUGACCAGCCACACUGGAACUGAGACACGGUCCAGACUCCUACGGGAGGCAGCAGUGGGGAAUAUUGCACAAUGGGCGCAAGCCUGAUGCAGCCAUGCCGCGUGUGUGAAGAAGGCCUUCGGGUUGUAAAGCACUUUCAGCGGGGAGGAAGGCGUUAAGGUUAAUAACCUUGGCGAUUGACGUUACCCGCAGAAGAAGCACCGGCUAACUCCGUGCCAGCAGCCGCGGUAAUACGGAGGGUGCAAGCGUUAAUCGGAAUUACUGGGCGUAAAGCGCACGCAGGCGGUCUGUCAAGUCGGAUGUGAAAUCCCCGGGCUCAACCUGGGAACUGCAUUCGAAACUGGCAGGCUAGAGUCUUGUAGAGGGGGGUAGAAUUCCAGGUGUAGCGGUGAAAUGCGUAGAGAUCUGGAGGAAUACCGGUGGCGAAGGCGGCCCCCUGGACAAAGACUGACGCUCAGGUGCGAAAGCGUGGGGAGCAAACAGGAUUAGAUACCCUGGUAGUCCACGCCGUAAACGAUGUCGAUUUGGAGGUUGUGCCCUUGAGGCGUGGCUUCCGGAGCUAACGCGUUAAAUCGACCGCCUGGGGAGUACGGCCGCAAGGUUAAAACUCAAAUGAAUUGACGGGGGCCCGCACAAGCGGUGGAGCAUGUGGUUUAAUUCGAUGCAACGCGAAGAACCUUACCUGUCUUGACAUCCACAGAACUUUCCAGAGAUGGAUUGGUGCCUUCGGGAACUGUGAGACAGGUGCUGCAUGGCUGUCGUCAGCUCGUGUUGUGAAAUGUUGGGUUAAGUCCCGCAACGAGCGCAACCCUUAUCCUUUGUUGCCAGCGGUCCGGCCGGGAACUCAAAGGAGACUGCCAGUGAUAAACUGGAGGAAGGUGGGGAUGACGUCAAGUCAUCAUGGCCCUUACGACCAGGGCUACACACGUGCUACAAUGGCAUAUACAAAGAGAAGCGACCUCGCGAGAGCAAGCGGACCUCAUAAAGUAUGUCGUAGUCCGGAUUGGAGUCUGCAACUCGACUCCAUGAAGUCGGAAUCGCUAGUAAUCGUAGAUCAGAAUGCUACGGUGAAUACGUUCCCGGGCCUUGUACACACCGCCCGUCACACCAUGGGAGUGGGUUGCAAA